rnacentral:tRNA from 1 species
GGAGAGGUGGCCGAGUCUGGCUGAAGGCGCACGCCUGGAAAGCGUGUGUAUCUUAACGGGUACCGGAGGUUCGAAUCCUCUCCUCUCCGCCA